GUGAGGAUGAGUGAGCUGGUCGGUCUGGCCCCAGCAUAGCCGAGGGGACCAGAAGAAAGAGAUGGCCCUGGCGUCCAGCUGGGAGGACAUCAGAUGGCCCCUACCGCAAGCUGUUCCAUGCAAGGUCUUCCCCUCUGGGCCACCAUACUGGCCAAGUGAAGAUGAAGUGCAGGGCUAUGCCAGCCAGCCCAACGUGCCUUUCCAUCCCCUUUCCAGGUACUGAGUCUUGACCUACACAUUGUACUCCAAACUCCAAGAGGACUCUGUAGAAGCAGGCUCUGACAGAAAGCAUCCGCUGCACCUCUGCAGGAACCCAGCCUGCCACAGACCAACCCAAGGGCACGGCUGGCCUUGGCUGGCCCCAAAGAAUGGGCUCAUGGGCUCUACCCAGUCCCUAUGCCGGGCACACAUCUGCAUCGAACAAGGGCUGGUAUCAUAUGCCUUCCUGGCCAAGGAAGGGUCUGGCUGAGCAGAACUGCAAGAUCAGUAAGUGUGGAACCCACACAACCACAAGUCCUGAGCACCAACGGUCACAACCAACUGCACGCUGCUGGAGACUGCCCCAACAAAAGCCCCGUACCCCUCUGCGGCCUGCCGCCCCUGGAGAACCGCAGAAGGCAGGGGCUCCGGAGAGGCAGUUUCCGGGCUCGCAAGGGCCAAGGGAACACACGGAGGACUCCGAAGGCGCACCGGGACUAGGAACCGCCGUGGAGCAGGUGUCUUCGCUUGUCGCGAGUGGGCAGACCCGCGGGCAAGAAGCGCAG
rnacentral:lncRNA from 1 species